rnacentral:rRNA from 1 species
UACAGAGGGGGGCAAGCGUUGUUCGGAAUUACUGGGCGUAAAGGGCGCGUAGGCGGCCCGCUAAGUCGAACGUGAAAUCCCCCGAGCUCAACUCGGGAACUGCGUCCGAUACUGGUGGGCUUGAAUCCGGGAGAGGGAUGCGGAAUUCCAGGUGUAGCGGUGAAAUGCGUAGAUAUCUGGAGGAACACCGGAUGGCGAAGGCGCAGUCUCGUGGCCAGUAAUGACGCUGAGGAGCGAAAAGCUGGGA